GGCCCAAACUUGAAGUAGAUUUGUUUAGUAGGGUCAGCCAAUCCUACUGAUCUACUCUACUUUGAAUUUGGGCCU
rfam:Haemonchus placei strain MHpl1 genome assembly, scaffold: HPLM_scaffold0001865